AGAGAUGCCUGGUUGAGGGCAGCUGGCGGACAAGUGAUCACACCACCCACCCUUGUCUGAUGCCACGCACGCUGAGCGCUGAGCGAGCUGAGGUGGAAGGCGGGGCAGAAGAACGGGUGGCUCUUGUGUCCUCCCAUUCCCCUCCCACCCAGGGCAUGGGCGGCAUCGGCGAAGCCAGCGAGACGCUUGUCCUACAGCGCCUCCUCCUGGACAAAGCUCCAGACAACCGAAAAGGGACACCACCAGCCCUAGAAAACCUAGACUAGGCACUUCCUUCCUGGGACAUCAGAAGUUGAUUCUGCCACGUCCACUGGAGAGGCAAAAAGGAGUCCAAAAGUCCUUGAGGCUACCUCUUACCGCCCCACCCCCAGCUCAGACAACAAGCCUGUGACCCAGAAGCGAGCAUCUCAUCUCUCCUUGAUUAGACUUUCCAGAGACUGCACUCCCAGCUCUUGUGUCCACCCAAGAAGAAACCAAGGCCAGGACAUUGGCUCCCCAGUCUAUAAAUAGAAGUUUGGACCCAGGACGCUGGGAGUUUUGCCCAGAAACCUCUAAGACACCCAAGGAUUCAGCAAACAUCCAAGAUAUGGAGGAGACACUAGAUGUGAAUUCUUAUGCAGUGAAUUAAACAAUAUGUUAUUACACAAGGAAAUGGGCAAGCUGGUGCUUAUUCCCUGGUCGAUACACAUAGAAGUGGGUAAAGAGAUUGUUCAAUUCUAAAACAUUCUAAAAAUUAAUCUCAAUUUGCCUCUGUAUCAUCUGCCCUCUAUCCAAAUAAAAGCAGAGCUUAUCCC